rnacentral:rRNA from 1 species
AUCUGGAGGAAUACCGGUGGCGAAGGCGGCCCCCUGGACGAAGACUGACGCUCAGGUGCGAAAGCGUGGGGAGCAAACAGGAUUAGAUACCCUGGUAGUCCACGCCGUAAACGAUGUCGACUUGGAGGUUGUGCCCUUGAGGCGUGGCUUCCGGAGCUAACGCGUUAAGUCGACCGCCUGGGGAGUACGGCCGCAAGGUUAAAACUCAAAUGAAUUGACGGGGGCCCGCACAAGCGGUGGAGCAUGUGGUUUAAUUCGAUGCAACGCGAAGAACCUUACCUGGUCUUGACAUCCACGGAAGUUUUCAGAGAUGAGAAUGUGCCUUCGGGAACCGUGAGACAGGUGCUGCAUGGCUGUCGUCAGCUCGUGUUGUGAAAUGUUGGGUUAAGUCCCGCAACGAGCGCAACCCUUAUCCUUUGUUGCCAGCGGUCCGGCCGGGAACUCAAAGGAGACUGCCAGUGAUAAACUGGAGGAAGGUGGGGAUGACGUCAAGUCAUCAUGGCCCUUACGACCAGGGCUACACACGUGCUACAAUGGCGCAUACAAAGAGAAGCGACCUCGCGAGAGCAAGCGGACCUCAUAAAGUGCGUCGUAGUCCGGAUUGGAGUCUGCAACUCGACUCCAUGAAGUCGGAAUCGCUAGUAAUCGUGGAUCAGAAUGCCACGGUGAAUACGUUCCCGGGCCUUGUACACACCGCCCGUCACACCAUGGGAGUGGGUUGCAAAAGAAGUAGGUAGCUUAACCUUCGGGAGGGCGCUUACCACUUUGUGAUUCAUGACUGGGGUGAAGUCGUAACAAGGUAACCGUAGGGGAACCUGCGGUUGGAUCACCUCCUUACCUUAAAGAAGC